GGACGAAAGUCUGACGGAGCAACGCCGCGUGAGUGAAGAAGGUCUUCGGAUCGUAAAACUCUGUUGUUAGGGAAGAACAAGUGCCGUUCGAAUAGGGCGGCGCCUUGACGGUACCUAACCAGAAAGCCACGGCUAACUACGUGCCAGCAGCCGCGGUAAUACGUAGGUGGCAAGCGUUGUCCGGAAUUAUUGGGCGUAAAGCGCGCGCAGGUGGUUUCUUAAGUCUGAUGUGAAAGCCCACGGCUCAACCGUGGAGGGUCAUUGGAAACUGGGGGACUUGAGUGCAGAAGAGGAGAGUGGAAUUCCACGUGUAGCGGUGAAAUGCGUAGAGAUGUGGAGGAACACCAGUGGCGAAGGCGACUCUCUGGUCCGUAACUGACGCUGAGGCGCGAAAGCGUGGGGAGCAAACAGGAUUAGAUACCCUGGUAGUCCACGCCGUAAACGAUGAGUGCUAAGUGUUAGAGGGUUUCCGCCCUUUAGUGCUGCAGCUAACGCAUUAAGCACUCCGCCUGGGGAG
rnacentral:rRNA from 1 species